rnacentral:rRNA from 1 species
UACGUAGGGGGCAAGCGUUGUCCGGAAUCAUUGGGCGUAAAGAGCGCGUAGGCGGUCCGGUAAGUCCGCUCUGAAAGUCCGGGGCUCAACCCCGGGAGGCGGGCGGAUACUGCCGGGCUAGAGUCCGGAAGAGGCGAGUGGAAUUCCCGGUGUAGCGGUGAAAUGCGCAGAUAUCGGGAAGAACACCUAUGGCGAAGGCAGCUCUCUGGGACGGUACUUACGCUGAGACGCGAAAGCGUGGGGAGCGAACAGG